rnacentral:rRNA from 1 species
GAUGAACGCUAGCUACAGGCUUAACACAUGCAAGUCGCGGGGCAUCAUGGAGGUUGCUUGCAAUUUCUGAUGGCGACCGGCGCACGGGUGAGUAACGCGUAUCCAACCUUCCCAUUACUACGGCAUACCCCGUUGAAAGGCGGCCUAAUUCCGUAUGCAGUCCGAAGCAGUCAUCUAAUUUGGACGAAAGGUAUAUUCUAUCGGUAAUGGAUGGGGAUGCGUCCGAUUAGCCAGCCGGCGGGGUAACGGCCCACCGGGGCAUCGAUCGGUAGGGGUUCUGAGAGGAAGGUCCCCCACACUGGAACUGAGACACGGUCCAGACUCCUACGGGAGGCAGCAGUGAGGAAUAUUGGUCAAUGGGCGUAAGCCUGAACCAGCCAAGUAGCGUGCAGGAUGACGGCCCUAUGGGUUGUAAACUGCUUUUAUGCGGGGAUAAAGUUGGGGACGUGUCCCU